rnacentral:ncRNA from 2 species
GAGGAACCCGGUGCGAGUCCGGGACGGUCCCGCCACUGUGACCGGGUUACCCACCCGGGAGUCAGGAACUC